rfam:Burkholderia udeis isolate LMG 27134 genome assembly, contig: contig000165
GUUGUCGUGAGGCGGGGUCUGAAGGAAGCGUGUAGCAAAGCCACGACCUGACGAACAGAAACCAGAUAUGAGGCCUACCCGGGCGGACGAGCGAGCCAAUGAUCGCGAAGUCCAUGACCAUCAAGGCGCGGGGUGGUAGAUCUGGCAGGUGUGUGGUGAAGGCGGUUGAGC